GCGGCUUCUUCCUCUGUAUUGUUGGCACGGGUGAGCAAAGCCCGGCCUCCAUAGGGACAAGCAGCUGCUGUACCAUACCAGGCUAACGUGUUGUGAUGCUGAAGAUUUUACGUUCUGGAGCGCAGACACUGCUGCCUCAUUUCCAAACAGACAGGAGUGAGUUUUAGUAUGUCAAUAGCCCUCAUUGAGCCCUAGAGGUCACUUUCAGACCAUUUUCCUUCCUUUUGGUUGACACUAGCACAUCAGCCCAUACUUAGCAUACCUGCAGUACAAUGUUCACCUUUUCUUGCCCCUCUAUCUGCUUUCCACCAUGCCAAGUACAUCGUUGCAGCCUAAUGCUGAUACCGUCUUCCCUGGCCUAGAGGUGGAGGAGCAGCAUGCUGUGGCCUCUUCAAGAAGUUCUAUUUGUGCUGCACCAGAACUGGGUACCAGCACGUUGAGCCAUUUGCUUUGAGCUCACGCCUACACAGGUGGGUGCUGGGUGGUGACCCCACAAAACCAGCACACCUUUGGGCCGGGCUAUCCCUAAUUGCUGUUUAACCACCCAUCAACUAUUAACUGCGUAGAUUUAUAACAUCUCUCAGCAACUACACACGCUGAGUUUACUGCUGACCGAGCUAGCCUUCAGAAAUGGAAAUCUCUUCUCGUGUGUGAGAAGCUCCUUUCCCGCUCCUCUCUUACAAGCUCUCCUGACCGUGACGCUGCAGCCGCCACAGAAGCCGCGCCUCACAGCACCGCUCUGAGCGCGGUCCGCCUCCCGCCUUAAUGGCGCCAAGGCGGCGUCGCGCAGGCGCAGUGCUGCCCGUGCGCGGCGCGCUGCGGGCCGUACCACGUGUCGGGGAGGCAGGGCGGCGGGGGGCGUUGUUUCUGCCCCGCCUAGUGCGGAGCGCCUCCGCGCCGUCACGGAGAUGCGGGGUGCCCUAUUGCUGCUGGUGCUUCCCCCCUUC